rnacentral:rRNA from 1 species
GACGAACGCUGGCGGCGUGCCUAAUACAUGCAAGUAGAACGCAGUUGCGAACGGGGGAGUAACGCGUAGGUAACUGCCUCAUAGCGGGGGAUAACUAUUGGAAACGAUAGCUAAUACCGCAUACUGUGAGAUGGAACUGCGUUGUAUUAGCUAGUUGGUGAGGUAAAGGCUCACCAAGGCGACGAUACAGAGACGACCUGAGAGGGUUGUCGACCCCCCUGGGACUGGGACAAGGCCCAGACUCCCACGGGAGGCAGCCGUAGGGAAUCUUUGGCCAUGGACGGAAGGCUGACCUCGCCACGCCGCGUGAGUGUAGAAGGUUUUCGGAUCGUUAAGCUCUGUUGUUAGAGGAGCGUUACCUAACCAGAAAGGGACGGCUAACUACGUGCCAGCAGCCGCGGUAAUAC